rnacentral:rRNA from 1 species
GACGAACCGUGCUAACGUUAUUCGGAAUCACUGGGCUUAAAGCGCGUGUAGGCGGGACGGCACGUCGGUCGCUGAAAGCCCCCGGCUCAACCGGGGAAGGGGCGCCGAUACGACCGACCUGGAGGGACGUAGGGGGACCUGGAACUUCCGGUGGAGCGGUGAAAUGCGUUGAGAUCGGAAGGAACGCCCGUGGCGAAAGCGAGGUCCUGGACGUUUACUGACGCUGAGACGCGAAAGCCAGGGGAGCGAACGGG